rnacentral:rRNA from 1 species
GACGAACGCUGGCGGCGUGCUUAACACAUGCAAGUCGAACGGAAAGGCCCUGCUUUUGUGGGGUGCUCGAGUGGCGAACGGGUGAGUAACACGUGAGUAACCUUCCCUUGACUUUGGGAUAACUUCAGGAAACUGGGGCUAAUACCGGAUAGGAGCUCCUACUGCAUGGUGGGGGUUGGAAAGGUUCGGCGGUUGGGGAUUGACUCGCGGCUUAUCAGCUUGUUGGUGGGGUAGUGGCUUACCAAGGCUUUGACGGGUAGCCGGCCUGAGAGGGUGACCGGCCACAUUGGGACUGAGAUACGGCCCAGACUCCUACGGGAGGCAGCAGUGGGGAAUAUUGCACAAUGGGCGGAAGCCUGAUGCAGCAACGCCGCGUGUGGGAUGACGGCCUUCGGGUUGUAAACCGCUUUCGCCUGUGACGAAGCGUGAGUGACGGUAAUGGGUAAAGAAGCACCGGCUAACUACGUG